rfam:Amazona aestiva scaffold_2657, whole genome shotgun sequence.
CCAAAGGCUCUUUUAAGAGCCACCCACUUUGUCUUUUGAAAGAGCU